rnacentral:other from 1 species
UACAAGCUGCGUUGUUCGUUUGUAUAUGAAGUUUCAACCUUUAUGUAGUAAUAGGGAGCCCUAAAUCGGAAUCAGGACGGCAUGCCUCUAUAAGAGGACACCCGGAAAGAAUUCCUGCGGACACCCACCUGUUGGAGCAGGUUUGAAACUCCAUAUAAAUCGGCGGCAACUGCGGCACUUAU